CCUACGGGUGGCAGCAGUAGGGAAUCUUCCACAAUGGGCGAAAGCCUGAUGGAGCAACGCCGCGUGGGUGAAGAAGGUCUUCGGAUCGUAAAACCCUGUUGUUAGAGAAGAAAGCGCGUGAGAGUAACUGUACACGUUUCGACGGUAUCGAACCAGAAAGCCACGGCUAACUACGUGCCAGCAGCCGCGGUAAUACGGAGGUGGCAAGCGUUAUCCGGAUUUAUUGGGCGUAAAGGGAACGCAGGCGGUUUUUUAAGCCUGAUGUGAGAGCCUUCGGCUUAACCGGAGUAGGGCAUUGGAAACUGGGAGACUUGAGUGCAGAAGAGGAGAGUGGAACUCCAGGGGUAGCGGUGAAAGGCGUAGAUAUAUGGAAGAACACCAGUGGCGAAAGCGGCUCUCUGGUCUGUAACUGACGCUGAGGUUCGAAAGCGUGGGUAGCAAACAGGAUUAGAUACCCCUGUAGUC
rnacentral:rRNA from 1 species